GACGAACGCUGGCGGCGUGCUUAACACAUGCAAGUCGAACGGAAAGGCCCUGCUUUUGUGGGGUGCUCGAGUGGCGCACGGGUGAGUAACACGUGAGUAACCUGCCCUUGACUUUGUGAUAACUUCAGGAAACUGGGGCUCAUACCGGAUAUGAGCUCCUGCUGCAUGGUGGUGGUUGGAAAGUUUCGGCGGUUGGGGAUGGACUCGCUGGUUAUCCGCUUGUUAGUGGGGUAGGGGCUGACCAAGGUUUUGACGGGUAGCCGGCCUGAGAGGUUGACCAGGCACCAGAGGACUGAGAUAGGGACCAGACUCCUACGGGCGGCAGCAGUGGGGAACAUGGCACAAUGGGCGGAAGCCUGAGGCAGAAACGCCGCGUGCGGGAUGACGGCUUUCGGGUUGUAAACAGCUUUCGCCGGUGACGAAGCGUGAGUGACGGUAAUGGGUAAAGAAGCACCGGCUAACUACGUG
rnacentral:rRNA from 1 species